rnacentral:tRNA from 1 species
GGUUGUGGCUCAGUGAUAGAACACUUGCCUAGCAUGCAUGAGGCACUGGGUUCAAUCCUCAGCACCA